GACGAACGCUGGCGGCGUGCUUAACACAUGCAAGUCGAACGGAAAGGCCCUGCUUUUGUGGGGUGCUCGAGUGGCGAACGGGUGAGUAACACGUGAGUAACCUGCCCUUGACUUUGGGAUAACUUCAGGAAACUGGGGCUAAUACCGGAUAGGAGCUCCUGCUGCAUGGUGGGGGUUGGAAAGUUUCGGCGGUUGGGGAUGGACUCGCGGCUUAUCAGAUUGUUGGUGGGGUAGUGGCUUACCAAGGCUUUGGCGGGUAGCCGACCUGGGAGGGUGACCGGCCCCAUUGGGACGGAGAUACGGCCCAGCCUCGAACGGGAGGCAACAGUGGAGAGUAUUACAUAGUGGGAGGGAGCCUGGUGUGGCACCGCCGCGUGCGGGAUGACGGCCUUGGGGUUGUAAACCGCUUUCGCUUGAGCCGAGGCGUGAGUGACGGUAACGGGUAAAUAAGCACCGGCUAACUACGUG
rnacentral:rRNA from 1 species